UGAGGAAUAUUGGUCAAUGGGCGCAGGCCUGAACCAGCCAAGUCGCGUGAGGGAAGACUGCCCUAUGGGUUGUAAACCUCUUUUAUAAGGGAAGAAUAAUGACUACGUGUAGUCAGAUGCCCGUACCUUAUGAAUAAGCAUCGGCUAACUCCGUGCCAGCAGCCGCGGUAAUACGGAGGAUGCGAGCGUUAUCCGGAUUUAUUGGGUUUAAAGGGUGCGUAGGCGGUAUUUUAAGUUAGUGGUAAAACGUCGGGGCUUCACCUUGAUUGGCCAUUAAAACUGGAGUACUAGAGUACAGACGAGGUAGGCGGAAUAAGUUAAGUAGCGGUGAAAUGCUUAGAUAUAACUUAGAACCCCGAUAGCGAAGGCAGCUUACCAGACUGUUACUGACGCUGAAGCA
rnacentral:rRNA from 1 species